CGUUCCCUUGCUCCGACUCCGCCCUGCGCUACUUUUUCAUCCCUUCUCUUCUGAGCUCUCCGUGCUUUUCCUUUGGCUCCCCGCACUGCUCCACGCCAUCUCCUUCAGCGGGCUUUUACGCCGUCUCUCCACGCGUCUUCUGUUGCGCCCGUUUUGCACUUAGGAUCUCCAUUCUUUCCCUUCGACUCUUUCACUUUCUCUCGCCUGUUCCGUCCGCCUGUAGCCCCCCUCCUUCCCUCCCCCUUCCCCGAACCUGCGGACAACGUCGAAAGGAAAGGGGAAAAACCGCCAAUACGGAAAGCGGAUUUACCUUCCAGGCCGGCUGGCCAAGAACCAGAAGAACAGAGAACGACACUGACGGACAGGAGGCUUCAACAACUCCCUCUCCUCCUCCUUACUCCUUUUCCUUCCUUCACCUUUUUUCUGAUGCGCUCUGCUCUGCCCUGAUGAUGGAAGGGGGGGUGCACACCUCUCAGCGCGUGGUACCUCAGGGCCUCGCGCACCCCUACUCGGUGGCAGGAAGCCAAGCAGCCCUUUUCUAUCCCUGCCAAUGCAGAACCCACCUCUGGCGGUGCGUCGGGACGGCCGACGACAGUGAACACGUCUGUGCCAUCCAUACGAUGGGCAGCACGCGUCAGGGUGACUCGAGCGUAUGCCUCACACGGCCCUCACACGGCCCACUGAUGUGUGGGGAGGAGCCUGUGUGCCACCCCGAGGGAGGGGGAAGGGGGGAUGCACCAGGCGUGGCGACCGGCAUGAUUGGGGGGCGGCUGUGUGGGGUGGGGGAGUAGAGCUUGAGACAGAGAUGGUGUACAGGUCGCUGAGUCGGCGCAUUUGCUGUAGCACACGUGUGUGUCUGCGGUUUGCUUCGCACCACGCGGAUGGGGCCUGGUGACAGGGCCGGGCCGAAUGUAGAGUUGAGCUCAUGUUCUGAGGCAGAGUGGGCACGUUGAGGGGUAAAACAACAACACACAUCUACAUGGAAGCAUGCGCUUACGUUUCUCGUGUGGUCUCACACGAUCCGCCGUCUUCUCAAUCAGAGGGUCCUCUAUUUCCGCUAAACACCACGCCAGGCGCGCAUACACACACAUACACACAAUAACAGCGUGCCAGCACUCUCCUUCUUUUUUCUCCCACUCCUCGCCUCUGUCGUUGCGGCGCCUGUGUCAGUGCGCCCUUCUUAGUUCGUGUGUGUGUGUGCUCUGUUUUUUCCCUUCCCCCGACUGCGGUAAAGAACAUAUAUAUAUAUAUAUACGUUGGUGUGCAUAUAUAUGUGUAGUUGCGUAUAGACUCUCUGUUUCUGUUCAGCGCAAACAGAUGCCACUUCGACGACAGCACUCAACGUCGACGUCAUCUUUUUCUCCCUCUCUCCUUGGCCACCCUCCUUUUUCCCCCGCCCUUGUGCGCACGUAUGUGAGUGACUGCCGUGGGGUGCUUGAGUGUGUUGUGGAGGUGCGUGCGUACGUGUGUGUAGAGGGAGGGAGGGGGGAAGCACGGCGGACUGCACUGUUUCACCUUCACCAAUGCUUGCUUGUCAAUGUGUGGUGUCGUGUGCACUCCUAUAGCACAUGCUGAUGCGUCUCCCCCCUCCUCCUCGCCCCCGCGCCCGGGCACCCUUUCUCAUUCUCCCCCCCUCUUUUGCAGUGCGGGCUGCGCGUUUUGCACUUGUUUCACCGUUUCCUUUGCGUGCGGCUCCGGAAAAAGAGACGCGGAAUAAAGUCGGGGUACCGUCGAAGAGCGCAACCUAGGCACCAGUGAACAUUCGCAGCAGCAGUGGCCUGCCACACCUCACCUGCACUUUACGUCUCUCGUGAUGCCUGGCGCCACCCCCAUCCCUCUCCCUUUUCUCGCCCUUUCCCAGCUGUCAGAUGUUCGAACACGCUCAAAAACAAAGGUGUUAGUCAAACACGCGAGCAGGCAAACUCAAAGGAAGCACUCUUCGUCCCCCCUUUACUCCGAGGCGCCCCGGCGUCGUACGAUAGCUUGCGUACCCCCUCCCUCCCUUCCACACGUACGCACACGCGUCUCCAGGUAGGGGGGUGGGGGCGCGCGAGCGGAACGGGCUAGGAGCGUCUACGCGUCGGUACUUUUUAGGUCACAGGAAACACACACACACGCGCACGUGGAUACAAGUCGGCGAACGUACAG
rnacentral:misc_RNA from 1 species